AACGAACGCUGGCGGCAGGCCUAACACAUGCAAGUCGAGCGCGUGUAGCAAUACACGAGCGGCGCACGGGUGAGUAGCGCGUGGGGAUCUGCCCUGUGGUGGGGGACAACCCCGGGAAACUGAGGCUAAUACCGCAUACGUCCUUCGGGAGAAAGACUUCGGUCGCCCUAGGAGGAGCCCGCGUCCGAUUAGCUAGUUGGUGAGGUAACGGCUCACCAAGGCGACGAUCGGUAGCUGGUCUGAGAGGACGGCCAGCCACACUGGGACUGAGACACGGCCCAGACUCCUACGGGAGGCAGCAGUGGGGAGUAUUGGACAAUGGGGGCAACCCUGAUCCAGCCAUGCCGCGUGAGUGAUGAAGGCCUUCGGGUUGUAAAGCUCUUUUGGCGGGGAAGAUGAUGACGGUACCCGCAGAAUACGCCCCGGCUAACUUCGUGCCAGCAGCCGCCGUAAGAC
rnacentral:rRNA from 1 species